UACGUAGGUGGCAAGCGUUGUCCGGAUUUACUGGGCGUAAAGGGCGUGCAGGCGGUCUGUUAAGUGCAGGGUGAAAGCUCCCGGCUCAACUGGGAGAGGUCCUUGCAUACUGGCGGACUUGAGGGGGGUAGAGGAAAGUGGAAUUCCCGGUGUAGUGGUGAAAUGCGUAGAGAUCGUGAGGAAGACCCGUGGCGAAGGCGGAUCUCUGGACGGCUAAAACUGACGCUGAGGCGCGAAGGCCAGGGGAGCAAACGGG
rnacentral:rRNA from 1 species